CUCCAGUCAACCCAAAAACCCUCCACCCCCACAUUUCUCGUUCAAAUAAAUCCGUUCCACCUCUACCAAUCUCUCUCUCUUUCUCUCUUCUCUAAAUUACAUGGCAUUAUCUUCUCUACCACGGUGCUGUUUUUCAGUCCAUUUGUUGUUGGAGACCCAAUCCAAAUAUCCAACUCACUACACAUACUAUGCAUUCUUGGGCAUUCCUCAGAACAUCCUCAUUCUCAUCCUCAUCCUCACCCUCCAUCUCUCGAUUCCUUUCAGCUCAACGCAACGCUAGUCGUCCGAUCUUCACCCAAUCAAACGGCUCGUCCUCAUCCUCUUGUGGAUCCAGCAAUAGCAAUGGUGGUGGUGGAGGGAACAAGAAGAGGGGUUGCUCGAAUUCAGAUUUAGAGUCGAUUCUGAGAUCGAUCUCUUCGGUGAUCUUCGUAGUGGUUGGGUCGAGCCUAGGGCUUUCUUACUGGCCUUCUCUUUCUGAUUCUAAUUCUUUUUUGUCUUUCGCCGAUUCGCGAGGCCAGAAUGCGAAUGCAGAGCCUGAGCACAAAUCCAACUUCUUAUUUGGAGAUGCAUAUAGGAGAAAGGUUUUCUUUAAGUAUGAAAAACGCAUAAGAACACGAAGUCCUCCUGAAAAGGUUUUUGAGUACUUUGCCUCAAUCCAAACCCCAAGUGGGGAGGUACUUAUGACGACGGUAGACUUGAUGCGUGCAGUUGUCCAUGUAUUUCCUCCCUCUGAAUCAAAUCGUAUUAGAGAGGGAUAUCUCAAAGGGGAAUGGAUUCCUAUCGAGUUACAUUGUGCUCCUUCAAUAUUUUUUAUGCUUUUUGAUACCGACAACGAUGGACUUAUAUCAUUUGCAGAAAUGUUGAGAUGAACUUUGGGGGGGCUCACACAUACUCUUUAAUGCCAAAUUCAAACUAUGCACUACACAUGGUGUCCAGAAAAUAUCAGAGGCAUAGAACAUACGAGCAGCUUGUUUAUCAGCAAUGUCUCUUUCUGCCACAUUAAAUGCAGCUGCCAAAGGUCUUGAAAUUGAACCAUUUCUUUUUUUAUUUUGAAACAAGUUUGAUCCUUCAGGUAGAGAUACAUAAUCUGUUUUUUUUUCUUGCAUCUAAAUGUUGUCGAGCUCUUCUUUUUUCUAUCACUUCAUGCUCCUUUUUGAGUGUUUCAAAAACAUCAUCCUUUAUAGCUUUGCAGGCUUCCACUCCACAGUUAGGAAACUUCAACAAAUGAGUGUUGACUUUUGAAUAUGAACCUGUUACUUUCUUAUUGCAAUAGUUGCAGGACCAACAUCUAUUUCCACCCCCCACCUACUGGUAUGCUAAGAACCUUAACAUGAUUCCACAAUGGUUUAUCAUCAAACUCAAUUCCUUGAGGUUUCGCUGGACGUAGUACUACAGAUUUUCCUUUUCCCUUCUGCUUUUCCUUGCAAGUAGAUUUUUAGGAUGACAUUAUUUAUACCUGUAGGAGCAUAUGUAUGUACAAAAAAUAUAGAGUAACAGAGCCUUUAUGAUUAUGAUAUGACAUUAAUUUUUUCAGGAUGACAUUAAUUUUUUUGUGUUAAAUUUUUGUGAAAUUAAUUGAAAAAUAAGAACAAAUUUUCAAAAAUUCAAACAAACAGCCUUUAUGAUUAUUAUAUGAAAGUUAUGUGAAAUCAAAGUACCAGUACUUCGUUGGUGUUAUUAAACUUGAGGGGAAAGAAAUAAGUAAGAGAAAGAAUUAAAACAUGUCUUUGCUUGAUUUUUCUAAUAUACCUUUUAAUUUUUGCAGGUAGUUGCAGAAGCUUUAAAAUCCUUCUCUCUGAAAUGGGAAGUAGAGGUGUUGAAAAAUCUAAAAAUCUCCUAGAUGUUGAUUUGUGAUUAUGUAUCAAUUUUAAACAGUAUAUAACAAUCCCAAUCAAACAAU